UGUGUGGCUCUGCUCGCGGGCAAAGGCUUGGUGCUGGGGGGCACAGCGGGUUCAGGAAGAGCUUUACUGAGCAGAUGGGGGACACCGACCGAGACCUCGCCAUACACCCGAGAGAGGAGAGACCCGCCCUCAAGGAUGUAUACCUUGCACCGGGUGCAGGAUUCUAUCAGGGCGAACCGGAGUGUAGAAGACCCUAAGACGGUGGAGCAGCUCUUAAACCAGGGCAGGGAUAACCUAGACAUCAACCAAAGACAGUGCCGCUGCAACAGAGUGCUAAUCACAGCUGAUGCCCUGCUGUUGGCUGCUUUGUCCCCAUAAUGCACUCCAACCUCCAAACCCAUUCCCAGGGGAUCAUGGCGAAGGCUGCAACCCUCUCUCUUAGGUAUAUCUCCAUCGGUCUGUCUUCUCUGUCUCGCUUUCUCU